rnacentral:rRNA from 1 species
GACGAACGCUUGCGGCGUGCCUAAGAAAUGCAAGUCGAACGGAGGUAGCAAUACCUUAGUGGCGAACGGUCGCGUAACACGUAGGCAACCUGCCUCGAAGUGGGGGACAACAGCCCGAAAGGGUUGCUAAUACCGCAUGUGGACAGUUUAGGGCAUCCUAUAUUGUCUAAAGCUAUAUGCGCUUCGAGAUGGGCUUGCGGCCUAUCAGGUAGUUGGUGGGGUAAUGGCCUACCAAGCCGACGACGGGUAGCUGGUCUGAGAGGACGAUCAGCCGGAU